GUGAUGAACCUAAGAGAGGUUAUUAGCAAUAAGCAAUAGCGCCGAAGGGGCAAGAAGUAAUUCGAAACUCUCAGGCAGAAGAAUUGGGUUCGGACG
rnacentral:ncRNA from 2 species